UUCUGAACUAUUUUGUGUGACUUGUGGUAAAAAUUAAGACUAUACUUCACAUAAUCAUUUCUGUAGUUAGUCUUCAUUUACAUUUUUUAGAAAUAGACCCGCGAUGACGAGGUAUAUCGUUUCAUCUGACAGCGUGAGGUUUAAGAACUUCAUUUCUAAUUUUGUCUUGUGGCAUAUUAGAAAUGAUGUUUCUUCGAAAAUCGUUCGCUUACAAUGGAUAAAACGACUUCUGAGUGGUGAUUUUAAUGAAUAAAUUCCAAGGUUUUACGCAAAAAUAAUGCAGUCAAUAAGUACGGUACGCUUAUGUAUGCUUGCGCAUUAUUUUUCUUUCGUUUGUCUUUCAUUUCUGCAAAUUCUCAACUAUUUUGUGUGACUUUAUUUCUUUCGUUUCUGUUUCAUUUCUGUUUCAUUUCUGCGAAUUCUUUGUGUGACUUUUGGUUGAAAUACUCUGCGUUGGCCGUUGAAAGGUUAAGACUAUACUUCUCAGGAUCAUUUCUGUAGUCAGUCCAGAGAACUUAAAAGUAUAGAGAAGGUGCAGGUUCGACUGCGAACAUUUGAUAGAUUCACAUUAGGGAACUAACCGCAUUUGUUAACAUUGUACAUGGCAUACUAUAUGACGAAGCAUGGAAUAUGAAGAGACAGAAAUACACUCCCAACGAAGAAUUUUGUCUUGCUUUUCGUUUAUAUUUUAUUCCAUUUUGGCAGAGAAAAAUGUGUACAAAAUACACCUCUCACACAGAGAUCAUAAACACAUUUUUUUAUUUGUUUAAAUGAGUUAAGCAUCCACCCCCUCUACUCGGAAAAACUGGCGCAUUCUAAUGCUACAUCGCCAUUCACCACAGCUGAUGACACUACAGCAUAACUCACCACACCAGCAAACCCACUUAACAAAAAGGAUGGGCAAAGGGAAAGCAGGCACAUUCGCUCGACUCAAUUCGUCAUACAUAGUUCGAACAACACAUUCGCUUGUGCACUGCGCCGCGUUAGCUUUCUACACUAAUUAAUACCGACCGAUAACAAUUCGUGUACACAUUUUCGCACAUCACCAUUCGCGCUGCAAGUUCAACAAAAAACGUCGUCUUCACAUGGUUUCUGCUAGCUGCCAUUGGACUUAAUCAAUCCUGCAAUAAACUGAACCUUAUAUUCUGCGCGGCGCCACAAAUACUUACUACGGCGGUCCGGUUGCGAGUUCCAUCUGCCCCGUUCCGGACAUAUGUGCUCGCAUUUCAAAUAUAACGGGUGAUUUUUUUGAGGUUAGGAUUUUCAUGCAUUAGUAUUUGACAGAUCACGUGGGAUUUCAGACAUGGUGUCAAAGAGAAAGAUGCUCAGUAUGCUUUGACAUUUCAUCAUGAAUAGACUUACUAACGAGCAACGCUUGCAAAUCAUUGAAUUUUAUUACCAAAAUCAGUGUUCGGUUCGAAAUGCUUUUUUAUCGACAAAUUUUGUUCAGCGAUGAGGCUCAUUUCUGGUUGAAUGGCUACGUAAAUAAGCAAAAUUGCCGCAUUUGGGGUGAAGAGCAACCAGAAGCCGUUCAAGAACUGCCCAUGCAUCCCGAAAAAUGCACUGUUUGGUGUGGUUUGUACGCUGGUGGAAUCAUUGGACCGUAUUUUUUCAAAGAUGCUGUUGGACGCAACGUUACGGUGAAUGGCGAUCGCUAUCGUUCGAUGCUAACAAACUUUUUGUUGCCAAAAAUGGAAGAACUGAACUUGGUUGACAUGUGCUCGCGAUUCUAUGGCCAUUUUGAGGGAAAACUUCGGACAACAAUUCAUCUCAAGAAAUGGACCCGUAAGUUGGCCACCAAGAUCAUGCGAUUUAACGCCUUUAGACUAUUUUUUGUGGGGCUACGUCAAGUCUAAAGUCUACAGAAAUAAGCCAGCAACUAUUCCAGCUUUGGAAGACAACAUUUCCGAAGAAAUUCGGGCUAUUCCGGCCGAAAUGCUCGAAAAAGUUGCCCAAAAUUGGACUUUCCGAAUGGACCACCUAAGACGCAGCCGCGGUCAACAUUUAAAUGAAAUUAUCUUCAAAAAGUAAAUGUCAUGAACCAAUCUAACGUUUCAAAUAAAGAACCGAUGAGAUUUUGCAAAUUUUAUGCGUUUUUUUUUAAAAAAAAGUUAUCAAGCUCUUAAAAAAUCACCCUUUACAAUUGUAAUUUUCUGAUAAAUAAACGUUAACUUUGCACUCUGCACUUUACAUCCUUACGCAUUUUUAUUUAAGAACAGUGAAAGUGAUUAGUGCUUUUAUUUGCAAAUUUGGUAACAAAUUAUACAUGGUCCUUCGAGCCUCACAGAAAAGCACCAGUGGAAAAACAAAAUCCAUAAAACACAUAUAAUUAUAUCUGUGCGGUGAACAAAAAAAAAAAAACUGUGUGCAGUGAAAAAAGCGAAAAAAAUGCAGUGUCCCAAACAAAAAAAAAAAAUAUAUA